rnacentral:rRNA from 1 species
UACGGAGGGGCCAGCGUUGUUCGGAAGUCAUUGGGCGUAAAGGGCGCGUAGGCGGCCGGGUAAGUCUGACGUGAAAUCCCUUGGCUUAACCAAGGAAUUGCCGUCGUUAAACUGUCCGGCUUGAGUCCGGGAGAGGGUAGUGGAAGUUCCCAGUGUAGCGGUGAGAUGCGUAGAUAUUGGGAGGAACACCGGUGGCGAAGGCGGCUACCUGGACCGGUACUGACG